rnacentral:rRNA from 1 species
UUCUUUUAACUUUUUCUAUAAUGAUACAUGCUAGUUAAUUUUAACAUCACCGUGAGUAUAAUAAACACAAUAAAGAUUACAAGUUAAUUAAAUCUUUACGGUAUCAGAAUACAAAUUCAAAAACACCUAGAAAAUCCACACCUGCAGUACUUAAUAUUUCUCAAUAAGCAAAAGCUUGACCAAGUAAUAGAAAAAAGAAUUGGUAAAUUAUGUGCCAGCCACCGCGGUUAUACAUAAAAUUCUAGUUAAGGGAACACGGUAAAAACUGUGGUAAAAAUUACCCCUCAAUUAAACCUAAAAUAGAAAAAAACUUUAGCAGUAAUAAGCUCCACAGUAACAUAAUUUCACCUACGUAAAUUCAAUUUCAGACUAUUGACUCCACUAAAGCUCCAAAAUAAACUGGGAUUAGAUACCCCACUAUAAGAGCAAUAAAACUCAACUAAAACCCGAGAACUACGAACUAAAGUUUAAAACUCAAAGGACUUGGCGGUUUUCUACACCUACCUGGAGGAGCUUGCUAUCAAAC